UACAGAGGGUGCAAGCGUUAAUCGGAUUUACUGGGCGUAAAGCGUGCGUAGGCGGUUCAUUAAGUCGGUUGUGAAAUCCCUGGGCUUAACCUGGGAACUGCAGUCGAUACUGGUGGACUAGAGUGCGGUAGAGGGUGGCGGAACUCCGGGUGUAGCGGUGAAAUGCGUAGAUAUCCGGAAGAACACCGAUGGCGAAGGCAACCACCUGGGCCUGCACUGACGCUGAGGUACGAAAGCGUGGGGAGCAAACAGG
rnacentral:rRNA from 1 species